CAAAACUGGAUCAUUUCAGUGACUUGGUUCUUUAAGUCUCAUUCAGGAAAAGGAACAACUCUUUUUCAAAGAGUGUAAUGUAUAAACUUUAUGCUCUGAACUGGACAAUACAACAUGUCACUGUUUUACUACAAUUUGAUCAACUCCUGAAACAAACGCAGAUAGACUGAAAAUUAUUGAAUGCUGAGUCACCUACAUAGCUGUGAUGUUUUGUGCUUCUUCUCAUAUCAACAGUUGAACAGGUCAUGACAUUUUCUGUAGUUUUGUUCCCGGAUGAGGAUGACUGUAUGGCAGUAGUUCCACGCCUGGGGCUCAAAGGGGAGUUUGCUACUGGCCACCACACAGCAUCACCAGCAGGAAGUCCUUCAGCCACAACAAGUUUGCCAGAACUUGUACACCGCCUGAAGACACCUGGGAGGCUCUCCCUUAUAAGCUCAUCAAGCAUGCAGGUUCCAAGACAGAAGAGUUUUGUCCUGGCUGAGCGGGAGCUACCCAACCAUGAAGGUUGGGUGUCCAAAAGACAUGAAGUGGCAUAUCAGCGUGCACGGGGGGACUCCCACACCAGCCACACCCUCCCGGUAAUUCAGUCCUUGCACUCCAUCGACGUCUGAACAGCAGCACAAGAACUCGCAUCAUCCGUCAUCAGCAGAUUGUUACAAUAACACAGGUAAUUCCUCUGAAAGCAUCAGAACUUGCAUU
ensembl:lncRNA